AUUCCAGCUCCAAUAGCGUAUAUUAAAGUUGUUGCAGUUAAAACGCUCGUAGUCGGAUUUCGGGGCGGGCCGACCGGUCUGCCGAUGGGUAUGCACUGGCCGGCGCGUCCUUCCACCCGGAGACCGCGCCUACUCUUAACUGAGCGGGCGCGGGAGACGGGUCUUUUACUUUGAAAAAAUCAGAGUGUUUCAAGCAGGCAGUCGCUCUUGCAUGGAUUAGCAUGGGAUAAUGAAAUAGGACUCUGGUCUUAUUGCGUUGGUCUUCGAGACCGGAGUAAUGAUUAAUAGGGUCAGUUGGGGGUAUUCGUAUUCCGUUGUCAGAGGUGGAAUUCUAGGAUUUACGGAAGACGAACGACUGCGAAAGCAUUUACCAAGGAUGUUUUCAUUG
rnacentral:rRNA from 1 species